rnacentral:rRNA from 1 species
AACGAACGCUGGCGGCAUGCCUAACACAUGCAAGUCGAACGAGACCUUCGGGUCUAGUGGCGCACGGGUGCGUAACGCGUGGGAACCUGCCCUUAGGUUCGGAAUAACUCCCCGAAAGGGGUGCUAAUACCGGAUAAUGUCUUCGGACCAAAGAUUUAUCGCCUUUGGAUGGGCCCGCGUUGGAUUAGCUAGUUGGUAGGGUAAAAGCCUACCAAGGCGACGAUCCAUAGCUGGUCUGAGAGGAUGAUCAGCCACACUGGGACUGAGACACGGCCCAGACUCCUACGGGAGGCAGCAGUGGGGAAUAUUGGAAAAUGGGCGAAAGCAUGAUCCAGCAAUGCCGCGUGAGUGAUGAAGGCCUUAGGGUUGUAAAGCUCUUUUACCCGGGAUGAUAAUGACAGUACCGGGAGAAUAAGCUCCGGCUAACUCCGUG